AUUUGCUCUUUCCUCUAUUACCUGAAGAUUUUCUCUGAAUGAUUCCGGCUUCUUUCCUUGUGCCUCUGGCUUCCUAGCUUAUUCUUUCUUGGUUUUCUGAGUACUUGUGUUCACUCAUCUGUUGAACUGCAUUUUGGACCUGGAUGCAAGGUUUAGGUUUGCAUCUUACUUUUCUUUUCUUUCCUAUAUUCAAGCUUUGAACCCAGCCAUUGUCGCAAACUAGUUCCCCAAGAUGCACAAAUUUUCCAAAAGAAAAAGAAGAAAAGUAUUAAGAAAGCUAAAUUUACAAAAAUAUGGUUUCUUAAUUGUUACUUAUGUAGGGUUGGGUAGAAAGGUACAGUUUUUAUAAAUGUAACUAGUAAACAAUCCCUAUUUAAAAAUUGUUCCACAAAACCCAUCAUCCUUAUCUUUGAGAGUUGAAUAAUAAAAGAUUAUCAAAAUUACUCUCUAGAUCAAGUUUUAGCAAUUAAAUAAUGAGGAUUAUGAAAAAGGAUUACUUAAUCAUUAGGAAGAUACAGAAAUCACACCUAAAUGUGUUAGAAAAACUAUAUUAACAAAUUGUGUACCAAAUCAAACCAAAGUUUAAUUUCGGCAUUAAUGAUGAUGAUGGUGAUAAACUAGUCUGGUACUUAUUUAGAGUAAUGAAAGCAGGUUUAGUCCAAAUAGAGUACCACUUACUUGAUACUCUCAAAUAUGGCAUACUGGAGUUAUUUUUUUACCUUGGCUUCAACUAAAAUUGUUCCUUCUAGUUUUCAGAAGGAAUCCUUGCCAGGAAACAAUUCUACUGUCUAACUUCUAAUGAGUUACUAUGAUCAGUGAGCCAAGUUUUCUUAAGUCUAGGUAAUAUUUUAUUGGUAACAUUUUAAAAACAUAAAGUGUAUUUAAAUUACCUCUCCUCCAUUUAACCAGACUUAAUAAAUUUACCUCAUGUUAUAAACUACUUUAAGAAUAGUUUAGAAACUAGCUUUGCAUUUUAAAAAUUGCCUAGUCGUCAAACAUGCCCUGGCGCUCAAUUUUCGGUUAGAGUGAAAUGAAGCAUCAGAGUAGAUACAUUUUGCCUGACACAGAAUAAUGCUAAGUAGAAGUUACCAUUAUCCUUAUUCCUUGCCAUUAUUUAUUUUCCUUAAUGAGAUUAUCUUCCAGUUGACUUUGGAUAAGUGAAAAUUUCUGUUAGAAAGUUCAUUUUGGUAGAGUCCAGAACAAUUAAUAAUUGGAUAUAAAAUCUUAUAAAACUGCAUAUGGUUAAAACACUGCAAUAGUUCUGUGGGUUGGGGGUGGAAAGAGGGGUAGAAUGGGGAGGAAGAAUGGAAUUUUCAUUGGAAUGGCUACUUCUUCAGCAGAUUAGCAAAAAAAUAAAAAUUGCUUCUUUAGAAUGUAAAAAUAGGCAACCUAGGAUAGAUUUUUUUUUCUAAAUGGAGAAGACCCCAGAAUCCUAGAGAGUCAUUAACUCAGUUGUUCCUUUUCCUUUGCCCCGGCAACGACUAAGUGAAGACAGUUCUGGGGAUAUUUAACUUUAGCAUAAAUUGUUGUGUCUUCCUUUACCUAUAAUCUGAAUCCUGUCCCCUUCUGCUGAGGGGCAUUAUUGUCUUUGUUUUCCAUAUCUUAAACAUUUUUGCUUCUAUAACGUCUUCCUCCCAGAUCAUAGGGAUACUUAAAGUGCUCCCUUCCAAAACUCCAAACUCUGUAUCUCCAAAUUCUACUCUGUUCUUCCUGCCCUUUACCUUCAGUCUAGCUAUAUCUUGCUUUCUUUUAUUUCCUUCUUCUAGUCCAUUAUACAUUUUGUUUACUUUUCUUGUCUUAUUGCAUCAGCUUGGAUUUCCAGUAUGAAGUUGAAUAGGAGUGGUGAGAGGGGACAUCCUUGCCUUGUUCCUGAUCAUAGCCAGGAAAGCACUAAUUUAUCACUAUUAAAUAUGAUGUCAGCUGUAGGGUUUUUGUAGAUGUUCUUUAUGAAAUUGAGGAAAUUCUCUCUAUUUCUAGUCUGCUGAGAAUUUUUAUCAUGAAUAAGUAUUGGAUUUUGUCAAAUGAUUUUUCUGCAUCUAUUGAUAUAAUCAUAUCAUUUUUCUUCUUUAGCCUGUUGAUGUGAUGGAUUACAUCAAUUGAUUUUCAGAUACUUGAAAUAAAUCCCUCUUGGUCAUGGUAUAUAUCAAUAAUUCUUUUUGUAUGUUGUUGGAUUUGAUUUAUUAUUAUUUUGUUGAGGCUUCUUGUGCUUAUGUUCAUGAGAAAUGUUGGUUUGUAGUUUACCUUUCUUGUAAUGUCUUUACUCUUGGUAUUAGGGUGGUGCUGGUCACAUAGAAUGAGUUAGGAAGUUUUCCCUCUGCUCCUAUUUUCUGGAAGAGAUUGCAGACAGUUGGUAUAAUUUCUUCCUUGAAUGAUUUAUAGAGUUCACCUGUAAACCCAUCAGGAUGUGGUACUUUCUGUUUUGGAAGGUUAUUAAUUACUGAUUCAGUUUCUUUCAUAGAUAUGGGCCUAUCCACAUUGUCUAUUUCUUCCUGUGUAUGUCUUGAUAGAUUGCAUAUUUCAAGGAAUUAGUCCAUUUCAUUUAGGUUAUUAAAUUUGUGGGUAUAAAGUUGUCCAUUACAUUCCUCUAUUAUUUUUUUAAUGUCAUGAGAUCUUUAGUUAUUUCUUCUCUUUCUGAUAUUAGUAAUUUGUGUCUUUUUUUUGUUAGUUUAUCUGGCUAGAAGUUUAUCAAUUUUAUUAAUUUUUUUGAAAGAAGUUGCUUUUUGUUUUCUAUUGAUUUCCUAAGUUCAACUUCAUUGACUUCUGUUCUAAUUUUUAUCAUUUAUUUUCUUCUUGUUACUUUAAAUUUAAUUAGGUCUUCUUUUUCUUAUUUCAUAAGGUAGAAGUUUAGAUUUUUGAUUUUGGAUCUUUCUUCUUUCUAAUAUAUGCAUUCAAUGCUAUAAAUUUCCCUCUAAACCCUGCCUUUGCUGCAUCCUACAAAUUUUGACAAAUUAUAUUUUUGUUUGCAUUUAGCUCAAAAUAUUGUUUAAUAUCUCUUGAGUGUUGUCCUCUGACCCAUGUUUUAUUUAGAAAAAUAUUUUUUAAUCUCCAAAUAUUUUUGAAUUUUUCAGUUAUUUUUUCAUUAUUAAUUUCUGGUUUAAUUCCAUUGUGGUCUGAAAGCAUACGUCAAAUAAUUUCUAUUCUUUUAAAUUUGUUAUGAUGUGUUUAUGACCCAGAAUGCGGCUUAUCUUGGUUUUCUGUGGGGUUGAAGAGAAUGUUUAUUCUGCUAUUGUUGGGUGAAGCAUUUUAUAGAUGUCAAUUAGAUCCAGGUAUUGAUUGUGCUGUUCAACUCAACUACAUUCUAAAACAAUUUUUGCCUACUGGCUCCAUCAAUUACUAAGAGAGGUUGUUGAAAUCUCCAACUAUAAUGUAGUCUAAUCUUUCUCCUUGAAGUUCUAUCAAUUUUUGUUGCUGCUAUGUUGUUAGAUGCAUACACAUUAAGAAUUAUAAAAUAUUCUUAGAGAAUUGACUACUUUAUCAUUUUGUAAUUCUCCUCUUUAUCUCUGAUAAAUUUUUUUCAUCUGAACUCUUCUUUGUUUGCAGUUUAUAUAGCUGCUCCAACUUUCUUUUAAUUAGUGUUAGCAUAGUAUGUCUUUUUCCAUCCCUUUACUUUUUUUUAUAAAUUUAUUUAUUAUAUUUAUUUAUUGGCUGUGUUGGAUCUUCGUUGCUGCACAUGGGCUUUCUCUAGUUGCUGUGAGUGGGGGCUACUCUUCAUUGUGGUGUGUGGGCUCCUCAUUGUAGUGGCUUCUCUUGUUGUGGAACACGGGCUCUAGGUGUGUGGGCUUCAAUAGUUGUGGCACACAGGCCUAUUUGCUCCAUGGCAUGUGGAAUCUUCCCAGAGCAGGGCUCGAACCCAUGUGCCCUGCAUUGGCAGCCAGAUCCUUAACCACUGCACCACCUAGGAAGUCCUCCAUCCCUUUACUUUUAAUGUAUCUGUUGCUUCCUAUUUAAAUUAUGUUUCUUGUGGACAAAAUAUCAUUUAGUCUUUUUAAAAAAAUUCACUCUGAAUAUCUGUCUUUUAAUUGGUACAUCUAGAUAACUGACACAAAGUGAUUAUUGACAUAGUUGGAUUAAUUUCUAUUAUAUUUUUACUGUUUUCUAUUCAUUGCCUCUUGUUUUUUUCUUUUUUGUCUUCUACUCUUUUUUUACCUUCUAUGGUUUUAAUUGAACAUUUUAUGGGUUUUUUUUCUCUCUUCCCUUAGCAUGUCAAUUUUACUUAAUUAUUUUUUUUAGUGGUUGCCCUCACAUUUUCAAUAUAAAUUACUACUAAUUAAUUUUACUUUCAAAUAAUACUAUACAGCUUCACAGGUACUUGUAACAGAAUUUCUCAAUUUCACCUUUCCAUCCCUUAUAACAUUGUUCUCAUUGAUUUCAUUUAUCCAAACGUUAUAAUCACUGAAUACAUUGUUGCUUUUAUUACUUUGAAAAAAUAUUAUCAGAUCAAUCAAGAAUAAGAAAAUAUUUUACUUUGCCUUUAUUUAUUCCUACUCUAACAUUCUUCCUUUUAAAAUGUAGAGUAAAAUGUAGAUUCAUUUUCUUUUUCUCUGAGGAACUUCUUUUAACAUCUCUUGCAAGGCAGGACUAGUGGUGAAAAAAAUUUUUUUUUCCUCAGAAAGUAUUUCUCCUUCACUUUUGAAGGAUAAUUUCACUCGAUAGGAAUUUUUUUUCUUGGCAGGCUUUUUCUUUUUUUUCUUUCAAUACUUUAAAUAUUUUAUGUCACUCUCUUCUUGUUUGCAUGAAGAGAAGUAUGAUAUAAUUUGUAUCCUUGCUUCUCUAUAUAGGUAAGGUGGUUUUUCCCCCCUCUGGCUUAUAGCCUUUUUUUUUUUUUUUUUUUUUGUAUUUAUCCUGCUUGGUGUUCUCUGAGCUUCUUGGAUUUGUAGUUUGGUGUCUGUCAUCAAUUGUUGAAAAUUCUAGGCCACUAUUACUUCAAAUACUUUCUCUCUUCCAUUCUCUCUUUUUUCUCUUUCUGGUAUUCCAAUAAUGUAUAUGUUAAGCUUUUUGCAAUUGUGCCACAGUUCCUGGAUAUUCUGUUCCAAUUUUUAAGACUCUUUUUUCUCUUUGUUUUUCACUUUUAGAAGUUGCUAUGAACAUUUCUUCAUGUUCACUGAUUCUUUCCUUGGUUGUAUGUAGUUUAUUGAUGAGCCCAUCAAAGUCAUUCUUCAUUGUAUUUGAUUUCUAGCAUGUCCUUUAAAUUCUUAGAGUUUUUAUCCUUCUGCCUACAUUAUCCAUCUGUUCUUGUAUGUUGUCUACUUUUUAUGUUAGAGUCUGUAGUAUAUUAAUCAUAGUUGUUUUAAAUUUUCAGUCAAAUAAUUCCAACAUCUUUAUCAUAUCUGAGUCUGAUUCUGAUGCUUUCUCUGUCUCCUCAAACUUUUUUCUAUUUUAGAAUGCCUUGUAAUUUCUGUGAAAGCUGGACCUGAUAUACUGGGUAAAAGUAACUGAGGUAAAUAGGCCCUUAGUGUAAAGUGUUAUGUUUAUCUGUAGCUACAGGUGUCAGGGGCUAAAACUUCCUCUAGUGUCUUUGUAGUUGUCAUCCAUGUUACCUUUGGGUUCCCUUUCUUUAAUAAGGUGUUGUUCUUUCAGUUUUAAUCCACUGUUAUUAUAAACAGGAGCCAUAAGGUGUGGUAGUGAAUUGUCAGGGGAGAGUAGGCAUUCUUUAGACUUAUGAUUAGAUCUCAAUAUUUUACUGAGCCUGUGCCCCUAGGCUGUGACUUUCACAAAUGCUUGUUAGUGUUUUGUCCACCCUUAAGUAAGGCAGGAAGGCUAAAGAGGAUUGGUGUUGAGUACUUCCCUUCCUCUAGGUCAGUUAAGCCCUAGUUAAUUCCCAGUCUGUUUGGCCCUGGUAAAAUAGCUUUGCUUAAGAAGAAUAGAAUAGUCUGGAUGUAUUUCAAAAUGUUUAUUUUUGCUCUCCUGCUGGAAGCAUGAGGAAAUUUUCCUAAUUUUCACUGAGAGUAUCAGGUAGGCCACCUGAAGUUAAAAUUCAUUACAGUGUGAGGCCCCACUCCUCAUAUCUGGGCACUCUUGGAAUUUUUAACUCUCAGACUUGUCUACAUUGAACUUACAGCAAUUCAUUAAUUGCAGUUUAAAUUUUCCCACCCUAGUACUUGCUCCUGCAGAGAUUUCUGCUUCUGGGUUUCUAUUUUGAUAAGUUAUGAUUCUCUGUAUCUUACUGUUUGCCUCUCUGAUUUGGGGGGCAGUGGUUUGCCCUGUGACCUCACUUUUUUGACAUAUUCAAGAAGAGCUGUUGGUUUGCAAUUUGUUGGGCAUUUUUAUUGUUGUGAGAAUGGGAGUGAUGGCUUCCAUGUUGCUUUCAUGCUGACUAGUUCUUCCCUUCUUUUAAACAUCAAGCUUACUGAACAAGUGUUCUAUACUCAGUUUCUUUUUCUUUAUUCCCCAUUUCUCAGCUCCUAGGUAUCCAGAUUUUGCUGUCACCAUCCAAAGAUGCAGCUCUUAAUGAGGUCAUUGGUAAACUUCUAACUGCCACCUCUAUCCCUCUCAAUUGCUCUGCUCCAGUCCAAGCUUCCUCUCAGACCUAGAUAUUAAAAUUACUUUAACUGGCCUCUUCACUUAAAAUCUUGCCCACUCCUUUCCAUUUUCCAUAAAAUAGCUAGGUAUUUGUAGUGUUGUAAUUAAGAUAUGGAUCAAUGGGAAAAGACUGACUUACACAGCUGCUAUAAAUUCCCCAUUUAUUUUAGCUGAGAAUACAGAAUUUAAUAGAAAUGAAAUGACUACACUGAGCAGGAGCAAACAACCGAAUGUCCUGUUCUCUGAUUCCUAGCUGGUGACAGUUUACAGAAUGGUAGCAUCUGGUUACAGUUGAGAAAGAAGUCUAACUGUUCCACUGCUACUGUCUGACUUUAUAAUAUAAAACAAAUCUAAGUUAUAUUGCUGGAUACAAGCUUUCUUUCCCCUGCCUAUUUUAUAGACAAAACAUUUAAAAAAUAUAACUUUAUGUAGCUAUAUGUCAGGGCACUUGAUUAGACUUUAAACAGGCCCAGUAACCAAUUAAUAGCAACUUUUCACCAUGUAUUAUUAUUAUUAUUGUUGUUAUUAUUAUUAUUAUUAUUUGUAAGCUCUUUAUUGGAAUAUAAUUGCUUUACACUCUUGUACAAGAUUUUGAGGUACACCAAAGUGAAUCAGCUCUAUUUAUACAUAUAUCCCCAUAUCCCCUCCCUCCUGCGACUCCCUCCCACCCUCCCUGUCCUGGCCCUGUAAGGCAUCACCCAUCAUUGAGUUGAUCUCCCUUUGUUAUACAGCAAAUUCCCACUGGCUAUCUAUCUUACAGUUGGUAGUGUAUAUAUGUCUAUGCUACUCUCUCACUUCGUCCCAGCUUCCCCUUCGCCACCCACCCCCUCAACCCCAUGUCCUCCAGUCCAUUCUGUGCAUCUGCAUCCUUAUUCUUGCCCUGUCACUGAUGUUCAUCAGUAUCAUUUUUUUUUUUUAGAUUCCGUAUAUAUGAGUGGUUGGAGCAUUGAAUCCAUUUACAUUUAAGCAGGUGCAGAGAGAGAAGCUACACCUGCGGCUCUUCCCCCCCUGCUUGUGAGUCAGCAGUAGCAAGCCGCCACCAUGGCUGCCCAGCUUUCUGCGGUAGGCACUCUCCACUACGGAUUUCUUCCCUCCUGUCCUCUCAGUCUGUCUCCCCACUGCCAAUAACGUUUCCCACCCUGAACCAGUUCUCUGGUUCCCAUGUUCCAGCUCCCAGACCCCUGUUCAGCUGUGAACUGAUGUCUCAGUCCGGACACACUGAGCCGUGGUGCAGACCCUCUGUGUGUUUCUCACUCUUUCCCGUCUGCCACAGCGCAGACGUUUCACCCUCUUUGAACAGUCUGAAAUGCCUCACUUCUGACCCAGGGAAAUUUCCCACUGGAGAAAGGUUUUCCCUGUCAGAUAAGGGACAUUUCCCCAAAUUCGGCAAUCUUCCCUCUGUUUCAGAUCCCCCCGCCCCAGGGUGUGGGACCCGUCCCUUUCCUUUCUUCUCCUCCUCUUUCUCCUUCCCCCCUCCCCGUCCUACCCAGUUAUGUAGGUAUCUUUGCAGUCCUUUCUGGUGUCCAAGGUCAUUUGCUGGUGUUCCGCUGGUUUUCUGUGGGAAUUAUUGCAUCUUUUGGUGUAUUCCUGAUGCAUCUGUGGAGAGGGAUGCAUUCCACGUCCUUCUACUUCACCACCAUCUUUCUUCUCCCACAAUAUAAUUAUUUUAAAAGGAUGGUUGUGUAGUGAGGAGUGUUUAGUAUUUUUUUGGAAACAUGUAACUGUUAUUUCCUUAUCAAGGUCAUUGAAUAAUAUAAAGUAGAACUUAAAUUUUGCUGUACAUACAACUUAUGCAAUUUAUUAUAUAUCAAAGAAAUGUAUUAUUUUGAGUCUAAUUAGACAAUUUCAUUUGGUGGAUGAAUUUUAAGAAAGAUGAUGAAGAAAACUAGGAUGGUACGUAUUUACUGUGUCUUAUUGUCUGCAUUUUUCAGAAAUAUGAAGAGCACAUCAUUUUAUAGGGUAGAGUGAUGACUUUCAUAUCCUGAAAGAAAGAUGGAGGCUUGAAAAACAUCAAUAUGAAUUUGCUUAAUGAGAUUCAUUUGACUUUAUUUUUUAUGGCUGCAUGGGUCUAAGACUCAGCAGGUUACCUUUAAAAUAGUCAGAACUCUCUUCACGAAUGAAUAUAAAUGUACUGAUAUUAAUCAACAGAUAUAUGUGUAUACAUUGAAUAUAUGAAUAUAUUUGUUGACAUAAUUGUUGAAUAAACUGAUGACAAAAAUUCAUAAGAAUUAAAAGAAAACUGGUGUACUUUUGGUAAAGCAAAUCAGUAGAAUUUCUAAAACAUUUCAAAUUAUGUACUUUAAAAUACACAAGUAAUCAUAAAAAUUAAAAAUGGAGCUGCUCUUUCUUUGAAAUUUGCUUUUUAUCAUUGCCUAUCACAAGUAUCUGUCCCACAAAUUCAUUUUUGAAUUGAAAUGAAGUUAAAUUCAGUGAUCCCAUAGAGGCAACAAGAUUGGAUUAAUGAAUUGUUUACAAAUAUUAGGUUAUAUUUGAUUUUUUUAUGAAUAGAAGUAUUGGAGAAGUCAGUAAGUUCUAUUCAAAUCAAAAGUUUUCAUUCUUUAGCAGUAAAUGAGAUAAAAAUACCACAGCACAGAAUAUUUGUGAGGAUUAGAUAAAAGCAUAGGAUCAUGUUAGUAUCAAAGUGUAAAAUUUUGUUAAUUACUUUAUUCAACAGAUAUUCAUUGAGUCACUUUGUGCUGGGGAUACUGCAGUGAAAAAGAUGACAAAGUUCCUGAUCUCAUGGAGUUUAUUUUCUCAUGGGGCAAUCCAAACAAUAAAAAUGAGAUGGAUCAAAAAAGGUCUUGCUGCGAUUUAUGUCAGUGUUCUGCCUAUGUUUUCCUCUGAGUUUUAUAGUGUCUGGCCUUACAUUUAGGUCUUUAAUCCAUUUUCGAAAAGAUACAUGCACCCCAAUGUUCAUUGCAGCACUAUUUACAAUAGCCAGAACAUGGAAGCAAUCUAAAUGUUCAUCAACAGAGGAAUGGGUAAAGAAGAUGUAGUACAUACAUACAAUGGAAUAUUACUUGGCCAUAAAAAAGAACAAAGUAAUGCCAUUUGCAGCAACAUGGAUGGACCUAGAGAUUGUCAUACUGAGUGAAGUAAGUCAGACACAGAAAGACAAAUAUCAUAUGCUAUCACUUAUAUGUGAAAUCUAAAAAAAGGGUACAAAUGAACUUAGUUACAAAACAGAAGUAGAGUCACAGAUGUAGAACACAAACUUAUGGUUACCAGGGAAUGGUGGGGAGGGAUAAAUUGGGAGACUGGGGUUGACGUAUAAACAUUACUAUAUAUAAAAUAGAUGGCUAAUAAAGACGUGCUGUAUAGCACAAGGAACUCUACUCAAUAUUCUGUAAUGGCCUAUAUGGGAAAAGUAUCUAAAAAAAAGAGUGGAUACAUGUAUAUGUAUAACUGAUUCACUUUGCUGUACACCUGAAACUAACACAGCAUUGUGAAUCAACUACACUUCAAUAAAAAUUUUAAAAAAGAAUAAAGGAUAAAAGAAGUAGAUGGUCAAGCUAAGAGAUCUAGUACACAACUAAUUGCCAUUUCCAGGAGCAUAGAGAUUAUGGAGAGAAGCAAAACAGAUACAUAAUACAAAAAGAUUUCACAUAAUGGAAGUCAUGAGUUUCUAGAUUGAAAAGUCCUACUAAGUAUUCAGCACAGUCAAUGAGAAAUACUCAUGCUGAGCCUCUUCAUUGUGAAAAUCCAAAAUACUAAGGAGAAAGUGAAGAUCCUAAGAGCUUCCAGAGAGAAAUAAGACAGGAAAUCUCAGAACGAUGAUAAAGGGAACUGCUAUGGCAACAGCUGAGCAGGAGGCACAGUGUGACAGCAGCCAGGCUGGAGAAGAGGAAGAAGUGCUCCUGGAGCAAAGCAGUCGACAAAAAUAAAAUGGAACUGGUGGAUUAGGAAGUGUGUUUGAUUAUUUUGGGGGGAGUUUUAUAGCUCAGAGAAUUUGGGGACUGAUUAGUGGUAGGUGUAUAAAAAAUAAUGCAAAUUAAAAAAUAGCAAUUAAUUCCAGGGAAAACAAAAUUUUAGUUCAUGAUGCUGAUCAGCUAUGGAUAAUAUUUGUCACAUUAAUAUGAGCUAUGACAAUUGAUAUAUUUAUGAUAUUGGAAGGGGUGAUAUUGCGAGAGGUAGUAACAGAGGAAGAGAGAGACAGAUUGAGAUUAUAGGAAUAUAGAACAGCUAAAUCCUCAUCUUUCAUCACAGGGAGAUGAUAGAUAAAAUCUGAAGCCGGCGCAUCAAGAGAAAGAUAUGUAAACCUGUCAUUGAAAAGUAUGGAGACAAAUACCAAAAGAAACAGCUAAAGAGAACUGAAAUUGGUCUCCUUUGGAGACAGCCUGGGAGGUCUGAAUGAGUAUGCUAGAUUCCGUUUUUUUCUUUGUAAGUAUUACCUUUGUAAUAUUGUAGUAUUACCUUUAAAACUUGGUACGUGAAUUAUCUUGAUAAAAAUGCAAAUAUAUUUAAAACUAUAAUA